GCGCUCCCAUAGGUUGUCGGACUGACCGUGAUGGUAUGAGGAAGCCGGUGUGAACCCGGCACGGCCGCGCCACUGUGACGGUCCCGGGUCAGCCCGGGGCCGGAGUCAGACCCUCCACCGUCGACACCCUCGA
rnacentral:ncRNA from 1 species